rnacentral:rRNA from 1 species
CACGUAGGGCGCAAGCGUUGUCCGGAAUUAUUGGGCGUAAAGAGCGCGUAGGCGGUCUGUUACGUCUGCUGUGAAAACCCUGGGCUUAACCCUGGGCUUGCAGUGGAUACGGGCAGACUAGAGGCAGGUAGGGGAGAAUGGAAUUCCCGGUGUAGCGGUGAAAUGCGCAGAUAUCGGGAGGAACACCGGUGGCGAAGGCGGUUCUCUGGGUCUGACCUGACGCUGAGGAGCGAAAGCGUGGGGAGCGAACAGG